AUCGAGGCUUAAGGAACUCAUAAAAGCUGCUUAAUGCAUGUUUCCGUAAAUUAAUAAUAGUACUAGAAGUAAGAAAGUGAAUGAUUUUGUGGGUAUGUGUAUUUUUAAUUUUGCAAAAAUAUUCGUUUAUCCCUAAAGUAGUACAGUAGCCGAAAGAAUCCUUUAUAACGUCCAUGCAUUUGUGCACAAAUACAACAAAAUUAGAAGUUUGUCAAAUUGCUGUUGGUCAUUUUCAAAUAGCAAAUAGCAAGGCGCUGAAAUGUUAAGGUUGCUAUUUUCUGACAUAUAACGAAAAUCGGCUGUACUAAAGAGUAACGUGGGUUGGCGAUGGACAUUCUUUGCUGAAGAAGCAAACAUUGUUCAUAAAAAGUAGACUGAUAUUCUAUUAUGCUAUAAAAUGAAUCGGCUCUUUUGUGUAAUUAAUUAAAUUUUCCAUAUUCGGUAAUACUACUAAACAUUAGUAUACACAAUACCAAAAUCAAUCAAAUCAUACAUAGCAUGGAUCGUUUGUUUAACAUUGAAAAAUUCCUUUACGCAGUGCGGAAUCUUCAGUUGUUAGAUUGAAUAUAAAGUUUUAGAACAUAUGACUCUUUUAACCAGAUUAAAUUUAAGCUUGACAUGAAAGUACCUUUAUUAAAGUAGCCCCCUGUUAGCAAAUACCAUGAUCAUCCAAGAAGGUA